rnacentral:lncRNA from 1 species
GCUGUUCAACAUGGGUAUAAAAAUGGGAUUUUGGAAUCUGACUCACUGGCUCUUAUUGAUGGUCUAAAAGGGAGAGAAGAAUCGGGCUUUGACAAUUUUGCCUAUUAUCAAUGAAAUCAGAAGCAAGUCUUCUCUGUUCUUGUUUCUGAUGGACUUACUGCCCUCCCCCCGGGUAGUUGGUCUUUAUGGUUGGGGGAAGUUCUUUUUGGCUGGGGUUGGUUUAGCUUGAGCUUUUUCCCUUUUUAUUGUUCUGUCUUUUCUGUAGCUUUCCUUUUGCUGGACUCUGUCUGGUUUUUCCUUUGCAAUGAAUGAGAUUUCGACCAAAAAAAAAAGAUCUAAUGUACUUGACUCCCAGGCCUUUCGAGCAUCAUGAGUGGAAGCUUCAUGUUCUUAAAAAUUAGAAAUUUUUUUUAAAAUAAAAUAAAAGAACUAAACACGAAGAUUGAAGAAUGUAAUAUACCUGGCACCCAGUUAACCUGAUCUAUCCAUGAACCAGAGUAAGUAGGACGCCCUGACCUGCGAAAUUGAGCAAACAUUUCACACAUAAAACAAUGGAAUUCACAAUUAAAAAGGUGCAGGCCAAAUGAAAAAAGCAAUGAUGUCUUCAGCACCUGCUUACACCAAUGACCUCUAUGCCUUUGGACACCGCAGCUUUGCAUAUAGCAGAACCAACAAAACCGCUGCCUCCUAAUACGACAACCUACUAAAGGGAAGCAUACGACAUCAUUCAUAGGCACAAAAAAAUACCCAACACAACAAAUAUCUGAAGCUCAAGCUGAGGAAUUAAAAACGAAAAAUUGAUUUAUAAACUAAAUAAAUGUGAAAUUGUUUGCAAGUUGUGUGGUGCUUUGGCUUUGGCUUUGGCUUACCCGUUCAGGCUUAACAUCAGCCACAACAUCUAUGGUGGCGGAAACGGAAUUGAAGGCGUCCUUGUUCACAUUUGCCUCUGCAUAUCUGCAUUUUAUGUUGAACCUGCAUAACCAAAUUCAGAUUUCAAGAUUCUUAGCAGAAGAACACCAAUUUGUUAAGGCAAGGCAAUAACCAAAUAAAACCCUGUCAAAGUUCCAGCCGAAGCGAGAGAGAGAGAGAGAGAGAGAGAGAGGGAGAGAGAGAGGAGAGAACGAACCGGGUCUGGAAAAGCGAGUUGGGCCUGGAGCCCGCUGGGAAGGAAGCUCCGCGCAGAGGAGAGGGAAGUGUGAAAAUGGCAGGGAGGUGCAAAAACGACGCCAUUUGACUGAAACAGACGACACUCGCUCAGCUCCGUAUGCUGACUUUGAGGUGCAGAGCGUCGCGUAAUUCAGCCCCAUGUGGUGUGUUUUAGCCUUUGGACGGCUGAUAUGAAAUGCUUGUGGGACCACAAUUUUGUAGUUUGUAGAUGGGAGAAGCGAAAACAGCGCAAAAUUUGGGGAAAUAGCCCAAAAUACCAUCUUUUUUUAAAAAAUUUGGAACUAUCACCUAUAAAUAUAAAAUUAUUGUACCCUUAUUGCUGAUUUUUCACAAGUUCAGAAAUUUGUUCUCUCAGCUCACACAACUCUCUCUCUCUGGCACAACUCUCUUUCUCUUUGGUAUCUGUCUAUCACAGCUCUCUAGGUCUCUCUUGGCUCUCUCUAUCUUGGCUCUCUCUCUAGCACAACUCUCUGUCUCUCUCUCCAGAUCAAUCAGAAUUCGGAUCAACCCCUCAUUGUCCGUCUCUUUCCACAAAACCACUCUCUAUUCGUGAAACCAACCGCGAAUCUCACAGAAGUUUCCUUCUUCAGCUCAAAAAGCAUACGCCAUGAUUUGAAUCACCAGGAAUUAAUCGGACCACCCCAACCAGGUUCAUUUCUCUUUUGCCUUUUUCUGAUUCGACCUAUUUGGAAUUGGAUCUCGAUCAAUUUUCAAAUUUGAUUUCAGUUUUUUAGGUUGGUUCUUAUAAUUGAAUUUGAAUUGAAUCUGAUUCGGUAUUUUGUUUAAAGAAUGGCGUGGUUCAGUGGGAAAGUCUCUUUGGGGAACUUCCCCGAUCUCGCCGGGGCAGUGAAUAAGCUCCAGGAGAGCGUCAAGAACAUCGAGAAGAACAAGCUGAUGAUAAUGAAGCUGAUGUUAAAGGGCAACAUCUGAGCUCAGGGGAAAAUGCGUCUGACUCUUCAGUGAUUGAAUUGGAGAAGGUGAAGAUGGAGAUGAAGAUGAUGGAAGCUGCAUUGCAAGGUGCUGCAAGACAGGCCCAGGUACAUGAUGAAUGAUUAGGUAGCAUCUUAUUUGAGAGCUCAUAAGAUCACAACCAUUUAUUAUUAUCCCUGUUCAUUUAGUGGAACACUUGAGACAAUACUACUGAACUUCUUGACUGGAUUUCUUUAAUUUAGAAGCGCUGUCUACAUAUAUCGGAGGUUUAUGAAGUUUGCUUAGUUAACCUGAACACCUUUAGUCUUGCAGAUGGUGUGUGUCUGUGUCUGUGUCUGUUGAUUUAGGAAAAUAGAAACAUUUUGUAUUUCUGUAUAUGGUAAUUAAGUUAAAGCAGCAACAAAUACAAGAGAAGAAUUAUUAUACUCUUUCUUCAUUGUGGAUCUCUCUGGGUGCAGCUAUGUUACAUUGUUAAUGUCUGUUCAAUUGUAUGUAUAUCUACAGUUCUGAACGUCUGAUAUAUUUGAUUCUUUUUCUAGGCAAAAGCUGAUGAGAUUGCAAAGUUUAUGAAUAAAAAUGAACAAUUAAAAUCUGCGAUCGAGGAUUUGAAGGUAUGCAUUUUGUAAUAUUUUUAUACCUUCAUUUGAGUAGAUAAAAUAAUGGCUUGAUCAUGCAUGUUUUACUUUGAUUUUUCACUCUUGGUGUAUAAUGCACUUGUAUUUGCUACCAUCUUCCAUUUAUAACCCAGCAUAUAGGGAAAUCACGGAAAUUCUUAUAGGGAGGUAGUUGCCCCCGUGGCUUGUCACUGAAUGAAGCAUCCGUGGAGAAUUGUUGGAUGAAAAUAUCUUUGCUAUAUUCAUGCUACUUCCUCUUGCGGGUGGUUUAUGUUGAGUUAAUAUUUAAAUUUUAAAAUGCAUUCUUUUUUCAAUUUUGAUUUCAACGUUUUCUUCAAAAUUGUUUGUGUGUAAAUGCAAAAUAAAGGCAUAGAUUCUAAUUGGACUAUUCAUUUUGCCCAAAAGCAUUCCUGAUGCUUGAUCUUUGUCAGUGUAACAAUCAUGUUAUGGAAUUAUAAGUUUGCACAUACAAUUUGAUGGUUGUCUAAUUAUAUGUUUCAUGUUUUGGAAAAUUUCUGGUAUUUCUUGAAACCAACCAUGGUUGACUAGUUCACAUUCUCAUUAUCAAUUUUUUUUCUUUCCCAAUUUGCUUUAUCAGCCAUAUAGUAUUGCGAUUUUAAUAAUUAUUUCUCUUAUAGAUGUUCACAUAUUAACUGGCGAAAAUAAUUGAACAGAGAAAAUCCAAUGAUGCAGAAGUCGAGUCACUGCGAGAGGAAUACCAUCAAAGGGUUGCAACACUUGAAAGGAAGGUAGGUCUUCUCAUAAAGUCUUGUUUAUAAUCGUGCUUGGAUUGAUCUAGGUGUUAUAUGUGCCCGUUAUGUUUUUGAUGAAAUUGGUACUUGCCUAUUUUUAAUUCAGCUCCUGAUAAUUGGAGGGGCUAUGCCAACUUAUGAUUGCAGGUGUAUGCUCUUACAAAGGAAAGGGACACGCUUCGGCGGGAGCAGAAUAAGAAAAGUGAUGCAGCUGCUCUUCUGAAGGAAAAGGAUGAAAUAAUUAAUCAAGUUAUGGCUGAAGGUCUCUUUCUGUCCCUGUCUGUCUCUGUUUCUCUUGAGAAGCUCAAUAUGUUCUACAUAUUUUGUGCCUCAUAGUGAAUUUCAACGUAGCCAAUGUUCUAUUGUGGAUGCAAGGAGGGUUUCUUUAUGCAAUCAUAUCAAUAAUUAUGGAAAUCCCUUCAUUUUUGCAUUUUUAUGUACCAGGUGAAGAGCUUUCAAAAAAGCAGGCUGCUCAAGAAGGACAGAUUAGGAAAUUAAGGGCUCAGGUAUGCUAGCCGGUUUAUUCAUUGUCUGAUUUUGUCAUUUUUUAAUCCUUUCUCUGCUAGGUAUUCUUAUAUUUUUUUCUCUGAAUACUAGAUCAGAGAGUUUGAAGAAGAGAAGAAAGGGUUGAUUACUAAACUUCAGGUAAUUCAUUUAUGUUAGAAUCUUUAAAAUUGUGGUUCUCUGAUUUCGUUUGAUAAAGACAACUCUUUCAGUCAUCAUAAAAUUUGAAAUGACAUUGAAGUUACAGCACAUAAAUUGAUGAAGCACUUGUUUUCCUUUUUUUCUCAAAGCUGCUUGGCCGAAAGCUUCCAUAUUGGAUAAUGGAUUAUCCCACAAAGGAUUUCUUGAUCAUUUUUCUGUUUUUAUGUCACCUGCUUUCUUAGUAGUCAAUUUCAUAAUAUCUUAAAACAGUAAACUAUUUGAACCCAGGAACAUUAUUAUAAUAGUUUAUAGGGAAAUAGCUCAAAAUACCACCCAUUUUAUAAUUUUUUGUCAAAAUACCAUCCCUCUCCAAAAAUUUUAAAACUGUCACAUAUAAAAGAAAAUGGUUUUCCUCUUUGCUAAUUGAGAAUCAUGUGCAGUUAUGAUUUCAGAUCUGUAGAUAACCUGUUGUUGCUGAUAUUGCUACCCGGGAGGACAACAGAACAAGUUGGAAAAUGUGCAAGAAGGGAGAGCUAACUCAUACAACGAAGAACAAAUUGAUGAAGUUAAGAUCAAAUUAGUAGAAUUUGUGAGCUCUCCCUUAUUUAUAAUUAUUGGUAGGAAGUAUGUAUGUAAUAGAGCAAAGAUUGGUUGACUAUGUAAUAACAAUUGAAUUGUCAAGUUUUAUGAAAGAAAUAAUUUUUGCUUCUUGGGUUCGGUGGCGAUUUAUUUUUCAUGUCUAAAUUGUAGUCUGUAAUGGAUGUGUGUGUAUUGUAUGUAGAUUGACUUAAUAUUGCUGUCCUAUUGCCUGUGUAUUGUACUAAUAUUGCCUGUGUAUUGUAUACAUAUUGUAUGCAUAUUGCCAUCGUAUUGCAUGUAUAUUGUAAUGCUAUUGCUAUCGUAUUGCCAUUAUAUUGCCCUAAUAUUGCCUCUCUAGUGUAUGUAUAUUGACUACGGCUCAUCAAUGGGUUUACGGUUUGGGCCAUAUUGCAUUCAAAAAGAAGACGAGGAGGAGAAAGAAACAACAUACCUUUCAAAAACAGGCAGUCAGGUGCAUCAUAAUUGCAUCGUAAGACAUUGUAAGAAAUUAUUUUAAAAAAUAAUAACAACUAAAAAAUAAUUUACAAAAAAAGGAAGGUAUGAAUAAAGAGACAGAGAGCGAAUAAGGGGAGAAAGAGGCAGAACGAAGCUAGAGAGAGACAGAGAGAGAGCUGCGCUACAGAAAGAGAGCAAAGAGAGAGUUGCACUAGAGAGAGAGAGAGAGAGAGAGCCAAGAGAGAGAUAGAGAGCUGCGAUAGACAGAUACCAAAGAGAGAGAGAGAGAUGUGCCACAGAGAGAGAGCCGAGUGAGCUAAGAGAGAA